rnacentral:lncRNA from 1 species
CCCUGGCUCUUGUGGCUGCUUCUCGGUUUGGCAAUAUCCGGCUUGUGGUCGCACUUGGUUCUUUCUUCUGUCGAGCUUCUUCGUCCUUUGAUGUUUCGAUGUCUGUACAAAGUUCAAGGGGAUACAACUUGACGAUCGGACGUGAUGUGGUUCCAGUUUUGGUUCGAAUAAUAGCGGAACGAACUAGUCCAUCAUUUCCUUUGGUUAGGUUUUCCACAAUCCCGGUUUUCCACAUUAUUCUUCUGUUUUCAUCAUGAAUCUGAACAAUAUCGCCUAUUCUGAUUAUAGUGGAAUUGUUUCCCGUUUUCUUGUGGAAUUCACGCAAUGACGUCAAAUACUCUGUUUUCCAUCUGUUCCAGAAUUGUUGUAAGAGUAAUGAUUGUCUUUGAACACGUUUGAUAAACUUUGUUUUGUUCAUAAAAUGUCUCAUUAAACAUGUCAAUUUCACGAGUAUCCAUGUACGGUAAUGUAUUUAUCCUACGUCCAUAAAGAAGAUGAGCUGGCGUAAGUGGUUGAAGAUCCUCCGGGUCUGAAGACACACAUAUGUUAAGGGUCGAUCAUUUAAGACGGAUUCUAUCUCUGUAACGAUUGUCUGAAGAGUCUCUAAAUUUACAAGUGAUUUUCCUAGUACUUUUUUCAGAUUCGUUUUCGUCAUUCCAAUAAGACGCUCCCACCAUCCACCAAACCAUGGAGCACGUUUAGGGAUGAAAAACCAAUCGAUUCCUUGUGCUGAUAAUGUCUCUUUUAACUUUUUU